UACGUAGGUCGCAAGCGUUGUCCGGAUUUAUUGGGCGUAAAGAGCGUGUAGGCGGCCAGGUAGGUCUGCUGUGAAAACUCGAGGCUUAACCUCGAGCUGUCGGCGGAAACCAUCUGGCUAGAGUCCGGAAGAGGAGAAUGGAAUUCCCGGUGUAGCGGUGAAAUGCGCAGAUAUCGGGAAGAACACCCGUGGCGAAGGCGGUUCUCUGGGACGGUACUGACGCUGAGACGCGAAAGCGUGGGGAGCGAACAGG
rnacentral:rRNA from 1 species